GAGGCGUUUGGGCAGGUAGACGGCCUGGGCGUCGAUGCCGCCCGUGAGGAUCCUGCCGCCGUUCGGCGCGGUGACGUUGUAC
rnacentral:tRNA from 1 species